rnacentral:rRNA from 1 species
GUACACUCCUGCGGGAGGCAGCAGUAGGGAAUCUUCCACAAUGGGUGCAAACCUGAUGGAGCAAUGCCGCGUGAGUGAAGAAGGUCUUCGGAUCGUAAAGCUCUGUUGUUAGAGAAGAACACGUGCUAGGUAACUACUAGCGCCUUGACGGUAUCUAACCAGAAAGUCACGGCUAACUACGUGCCAGCAGCCGCGGUAAUACGUAGGUGACAAGCGUUGUCCGGAUUUAUUGGGCGUAAAGGGAGCGCAGGCGGUCUGUUUAGUCUAAUGUGAAAGCCCACGGCUUAACCGUGGAACGGCAUUGGAAACUGACAGACUUGAAUGUAGAAGAGGAAAAUGGAAUUCCAAGUGUAGCGGUGGAAUGCGUAGAUAUUUGGAGGAACACCAGUGGCGAAGGCGAUUUUCUGGUCUAACAUUGACGCUGAGGCUCGAAAGCGUGGGGAGCGAACAGGAUUAGAAACCCUAGUAGUCCCAUG